rnacentral:rRNA from 1 species
UACGUAGGGUGCAAGCGUUGUCCGGAAUUAUUGGGCGUAAAGAGCUCGUAGGCGGUUUGUCGCGUCUGCUGUGAAAACGCGAGGCUCAACCUCGCGCCUGCAGUGGGUACGGGCAGACUAGAGUGCGGUAGGGGAGAUUGGAUUCCUGGUGUAGCGGUGGAAUGCGCAGAUAUCAGGAGGAACACCGGUGGCGAAGGCGGGUCUCUGGGCAGUAACUGACGCUGAGGAGCGAAAGCGUGGGGAGCGAACAGG